AUACGUAUGUCGCAAGCGUUAUCCGGAAUUAUUGGGCGUAAAGCGAGUCUAGGCGGCUUGUUAAGUCAGAUGUGAAAAUGCGGGGCUCAACUCCGUAUUGCGUUUGAAACUGGCAGGCUAGAGUACUGGAGAGGUGGGCGGAACUACAAGUGUAGAGGUGAAAUUCGUAGAUAUUUGUAGGAAUGCCGAUAGUGGAGACAGCUCACUGGACAGAUACUGACGCUAAAGCUCGAAAGCGUGGGGAGCGAACAGGAUUAGAAACCCCAGUAGUCC
rnacentral:rRNA from 1 species